rnacentral:lncRNA from 1 species
AGUAACUUGAAAGUGCCCCUAUCUCCACACCUUUGCUAACACAGAGGGUUACAAUUUUUUCUGUUUGUUCAUUUGUUAGACAAGACAUGCUAUAUUAUUGUCCUCUACUUAUAGACUUAACUCGGGGCUGAGAUCAGAAAAUAGAAUAUGGAAGGAUAGAAGGAAGCCUUGUCCAUUUGUCUUAUGGCUCUAAAGAUGAAUUUUAGAUUGGUGCCUUUUCAUUAGUCUGUUCAACAAAUGUUUUCUUUGCGUGCCCCUUCAAGAAAGGAAAAUGAGAUAUAAAAUUUGUAUUUGACAACCUAGUGAUAUUCCUCACUUGAUGGCACAUUAGCACCAUGGUCCAUCCUAGGAUGCUCUCUUGUUUUCUCAUUUCCCCUCCUUUCAUCUGGAUCCCCACUCUUUUCCCCUGCUCUUCCAUAAGCAACUAUUCUAGUAUGUUUAACAUACAUAUUGUAUAUGCAUGUUCCUUGAAGGAUAUAUAGUGUUUUGUGGUUUUGAGAAUAUGUGUUUUUAACUUACAUAAGUUGCAUUCCUAACUGUUGUGUUAUCUUACAUUCUCCACUCCUAAACAUUACACUAAAAGCAAACUCUAUCCUUGUGUUGCAAUCAUGUUUAUAUUUUUGCCUGUAAUUGCAGCAAAAGAUUCCAUAGUGUCUACCUGAGGUCCAGAAUAGAAGGAACUUGUGCUCACUUCCAGAGAAGAAGAUCAAAUGCACAUUUAUGUGUUGUUAUUUCUUGAACAAAGGACAUCAUGAUCACUUAUGUGGCUACAUACAUCUACAAUCCAUCUGUGGCGAAGGCAUAAAGACUCCAUUUCUGUCAACUUCGGAGCCUGUUCUCAUUCUUUGCUUGCUCUACCACUAAUGCCAAUUACUUGGGUCUCAUCAAACACACCAACGAAGACCUCUACACCACUCCGUGAAGGCUGCAUGGAAGGUUGGGGGCCUGAGAGCCCUCUGCAGUGUCCUCAAACCCCUCCUGUCUCUUCUGGUGAAGGUGAUCACCAGGAUGAUGCUCCACAUUGCCUGUGUGGGUCUGGCCUGAGCCCCAUCUGUAAAACAGGAUACAAAUGUCUGUCCCCCAGCAUUGAUUCCUUAAGGUGCUGUGCCUCAUCCAUGAUAGUUCCUGUUCAAUCACAAUGUGAUUAUGGCAUCUUGGAAAGUUCCAUUCUGAAAGGCAAUGAGCGUACCUCAAUUUUAAGCCUGUCAUUUAUCAUUUUUUUCUUCUUUCUUUCCUUCCUUCCUUCCUUCCUUCCUUCCUUCCUUCCUUCCUUUCUUUCUUUCUUUCUUUCUUCUUUCUUUCUUCUUUCUUAUCUAAUUUAUUGUCAAAUUGGCUAA